rnacentral:tRNA from 1 species
GAGGCUAUAGCUCAGUGGUAGAGUGCAUGCUUAGCAUGCAGGAGGUCUUGGGUUCAAUCCCCAGUCUCUCCA